AUUGAACGCUGGCGGCAGGCCUAACACAUGCAAGUCGAACGGUAACAGGAAGCAGCUUGCUGCUUUGCUGACGAGUGGCGGACGGGUGAGUAAUGUCUGGGAAACUGCCUGAUGGAGGGGGAUAACUACUGGAAACGGUAGCUAAUACCGCAUAACGUCGCAAGACCAAAGAGGGGGACCUUCGGGCCUCUUGCCAUCGGAUGUGCCCAGAUGGGAUUAGCUAGUAGGUGGGGUAACGGCUCACCUAGGCGACGAUCCCUAGCUGGUCUGAGAGGAUGACCAGCCACACUGGAACUGAGACACGGUCCAGACUCCUACGGGAGGCAGCAGUGGGGAAUAUUGCACAAUGGGCGCAAGCCUGAUGCAGCCAUGCGGCGUGUAUGAAGAAGGCCUUCGGGUUGUAAAGUACUUUCAGCGGGGAGGAAGGGAGUAAAGUUAAUACCUUUGCUCAUUGACGUUACCCGCAGAAGAAGCACCGGCUAACUCCGUG
rnacentral:rRNA from 1 species